rnacentral:rRNA from 1 species
UUCAACAUAUACGCAGGUCGUUGGGUGUAGCGAAUACCCGAAGGCUUAGUGAAAGCGAGCGGUACGACUCGGUUGUGCCAUUUUUGGCGAGAUCACCAUUUUUUUGAUGGUGCGCAUCGCCGGCCCGUACUAUUACUACGUGUUUUGUGCGGAGUUCUAGCGUAUAUGCUGAGACCCGAAAGAUGGUGAACUAUGCCUGAGCAGGAUGAAGUCAGGGGAAACCCUGAUGGAAGUCCGUAGCGAUUCUGACGUGCAAAUCGAUCGUCUGACUUGGGUAUAGGGGCGAAAGACUAAUCGAACCAUCUAAUAGCUGGUUCCCUUCGAAGUUUCCCUCAGGAUAGCUGGCGCAUGUUGGUGACAGUUUCUCCCGGUAAAGCGAAUGAUUAGAGGUCUUGGGGCCGAAACGGCCUCAACCUAUUCUCAAACUUUAAAUGGGUGAGAAGUCUGGCUUACUUAGGUGAAGUCCGGACACUACGAAUGUCUAUGUGCCAAGUGGGCCAUUUUUGGUAAGCAGAACUGGCGCUGUGGGAUGAACCGAACGUUGAGUUACGGCGCCCGAGUGUGACGCUCAUCAGACCCCACAAAAGGUGUUGGUUGCUAUAGACAGCAG